rnacentral:misc_RNA from 1 species
GAUGAAGAACGUAGCGAAAUGCGAUAAGUAAUGUGAAUUGCAGAAUUCAGUGAAUCAUCGAAUCUUUGAACGCACAUUGCGCCCGCCAGUAUUCUGGCGGGCAUGCCUGUUCGAGCGUCAUUUCAACCAUCAAGCCCCCAGGCUUGUGUUGGGGACCUGCGGCUGCCGCAGGCCCUGAAAACCAGUGGCGGGCUCGCUAGUCACUCCGAGCGUAGUAGUUACAUCUCGCUCAGGGCGUGCUGCGGGUUCCGGCCGUUAAAAGCCUUUUACCCCAAGGUUGACCUCGGAUCAGGUAGGAAGACCCGCUGAACUUAAGCAUAUCAAUAAGCGGAGGA